GUGGGGAAUAUUGGGCAAUGGGCACAAGCCUGACCCAGCAACGCCGCGUGAGGGAAGAAGGCUUUCGGGUUGUAAACCUCUGUCCUUGGUGACGAAGAAAGUGACGGUAGCCAAGGAGGAAGCCCCGGCUAACUACGUGCCAGCAGCCGCGGUAAUACGUAGGGGGCGAGCGUUGUCCGGAAUUACUGGGCGUAAAGGGUGCGUAGGUGGCCUUUUAAGUUGGAUGUGAAAUACCCGGGCUUAACUUGGGGGGUGCAUCUAAUACUGGGAGGCUAGAGUGCAGGAGAGGGAAGCGGAAUUCCUAGUGUAGCGGUGAAAUGCGUAGAUAUUAGGAGGAACACCAGUGGCGAAGGCGGCUUUCUGGACUGUAACUGACACUGAGGCACGAAAGCGUGGGGAGCAAACAGGAUUAGAAACCCGUGUAGUCC
rnacentral:rRNA from 1 species